UAGUCUGCCAUGAUUCAGCGGCGGACGGGUGAGUAAUGCCUAGGAAUCUGCCUGGUAGUGGGGGACAACGUUUCGAAAGGAACGCUAAUACCGCAUACGUCCUACGGGAGAAAGCAGGGGACCUUCGGGCCUUGCGCUAUCAGAUGAGCCUAGGUCGGAUUAGCUAGUAGGUGAGGUAAUGGCUCACCUAGGCGACGAUCCGUAACUGGUCUGAGAGGAUGAUCAGUCACACUGGAACUGAGACACGGUCCAGACUCCUACGGGAGGCAGCAGUGGGGAAUAUUGGACAAUGGGCGAAAGCCUGAUCCAGCCAUGCCGCGUGUGUGAAGAAGGUCUUCGGAUUGUAAAGCACUUUAAGUUGGGAGGAAGGGCAGUAAGUUAAUACCUUGCUGUUUUGACGUUACCAACAGAAUAAGCACCGGCUAACUUCGUGCCAGCAGCCGCGGUAAUACGAAGGGUGCAAGCGUUAAUCGGAAUUACUGGGCGUAAAGCGCGCGUAGGUGGUUCAGCAAGUUGGAGGUGAAAUCCCCGGGCUCAACCUGGGAACUGCCUCCAAAACUAUUGAGCUAGAGUACGGUAGAGGGUAGUGGAAUUUCCUGUGUAGCGGUGAAAUGCGUAGAUAUAGGAAGGAACACCAGUGGCGAAGGCGACUACCUGGACUGAUACUGACACUGAGGUGCGAAAGCGUGGGGAGCAAACA
rnacentral:rRNA from 1 species